rnacentral:rRNA from 1 species
AGUGAACGCUGGCGGUAGGCCUAACACAUGCAAGUCGAACGGCAGCACAGUAAGAGCUUGCUCUUACGGGUGGCGAGUGGCGGACGGGUGAGGAAUACAUCGGAAUCUACUUUUUCGUGGGGGAUAACGUAGGGAAACUUACGCUAAUACCGCAUACGCCCUACGGGUGAAAGCAGGGGAUCUUCGGACCUUGCGCGAUUGAAUGAGCCGAUGUCGGAUUAGCUAGUUGGCGGGGUAAAGGCCCACCCAGGCGACGAUCCGUAGCUGGUCUGAGAGGCUGGUCGGCGACACUGGAACUGAGACACGGUCCAGACUACUAAGGGAGGCAGCAGUGGGGAAGAUUGGACAAUGGGCGCAAGCCUGAUCCAGCCAGACCGCGUGGGUGAAGAAGGCCUUCGGGUUGUAAAGCCCCUUUGUUGGGAAAGAAAAGCAGCAGGUUAAUACCCCGCUGUUCUGACGGUACCCAAAGAAUAAGCACCGGCUAACUUCGUG